GACGAACGCUGGCGGCGUGCCUAAUACAUGCAAGUCGAGCGCAGGAAACUGACGGAACUCUUCGGAGGGAAGGCAGUGGAAUGAGCGGCGGACGGGUGAGUAACACGUAAGGAACCUGCCUCAAGGAUUGGGAUAACUCCGAGAAAUCGGAGCUAAUACCGGAUAGUUCAACGGACCGCAUGGUCCGCUGAUGAAAGGCGCUCCGGCGUCACCUUGAGAUGGCCUUGCGGUGCAUUAGCUAGUUGGUGGGGUAACGGCCCACCAAGGCGACGAUGAAUAGCCGACCUGAGAGGGUGAUCGGCCACACUGGGACUGAGACACGGCCCAGACUCCUACGGGAGGCAGCAGUAGGGAAUCUUCCACAAUGGACGAAAGUCUGAUGGAGCAACGCCGCGUGAGUGAUGAAGGUUUUCGGAUCGUAAAACUCUGUUGUAAGGGAAGAACACGUACGAGAGGAAAUGCUCGUACCUUGACGGUACCUUACGAGAAAGCCACGGCUAACUACGUGCCAGCCGCCGCCGUAAGAC
rnacentral:rRNA from 1 species